rnacentral:rRNA from 1 species
CCUAUGGGACGCAGCAGGCGCGAAAACUUUACAAUGCGGGAAACCGUGAUAAGGGAACUCCGAGUGUCCGUAAAUGCGGACUGUCCGUAUGUUUAAAAAGCAUGCGAAGAAAGGGCCGGGCAAGACCGGUGCCAGCCGCCGCGGUAAUACCGGCGGCUCGAGUGGUGGCCACUAUUAUUGGGCUUAAAGCGUUCGUAGCUGGGUUAUUAAGUCUCUUGGGAAAUCUACCGGCUUAACCGAUAGGCGUCCAAGGGAUACUGGUAAUCUAGGGACCGGGAGAGGUGAGGGGUACUUCAAGGGUAGGAGUGAAAUCCUGUAAUCCUUGGGGGACCACCUGUGGCGAAGGCGCCUCACCAGAACGGCUCCGACAGUGAGGGACGAAAGCUGGGGGAGCAAACCGGAUUAGAUACCCAUGUAGUCC